rnacentral:rRNA from 1 species
GAUGAACGCUGGCGGCGUGCCUAAUACAUGCAAGUCGAGCGAACGGACGAGAAGCUUGCUUCUCUGAUGUUAGCGGCGGACGGGUGAGUAACACGUGGAUAACCUACCUAUAAGACUGGGAUAACUUCGGGAAACCGUAGCUAAUACCGGAUAAUAUUUUGAACCGCAUGGUUCAAAAGUGAAAGACGGUCUUGCUGUCACUUAUAGAUGGAUCCGCGCUACAUUAGCUAGUUGGUAAGGUAACGGCUUACCAAGGCAACGAUGCAUAGCCGACCUGAGAGGGUGAUCGGCCACACUGGAACUGAGACACGGUCCAGACUCCUACGGGAGGCAGCAGUAGGGAAUCUUCCGCAAUGGGCGAAAGCCUGACGGAGCAACGCCGCGUGAGUGAUGAAGGUCUUCGGAUCGUAAAACUCUGUUAUUAGGGAAGAACAUAUGUGUAAGUAACUGUGCACAUCUUGACGGUACCUAAUCAGAAAGCCACGGCCAACUACGUG